rnacentral:rRNA from 1 species
GACGAACGCUGGCGGCGUGCUUAACACAUGCAAGUCGAACGAUGAAGCCGGAGCUUGCUCUGGUGGAUUAGUGGCGAACGGGUGAGUAACACGUGAGUAACCUGCCCUUGACUCUGGGAUAAGCGUUGGAAACGACGUCUAAUACCGGAUACGAGCUAGGACCGCAUGGUCACUAGCUGGAAAGAAUUUCGGUCAAGGAUGGACUCGCGGCCUAUCAGUUAGUUGGUGAGGUAACGGAUCACCAAGACGACGACGGGUAGCCGGCCGGAGAGGGUGACCGGCCACACUGGGACUGAGACACGGCCCAGACUCCUACGGGAGGCAGCAGUGGGGAAUAUUGCACAAUGGGCGCAAGCCUGAUGCAGCAACGCCGCGUAAGGGACGACGGCCUUCGGGUUGUAAACCUCUUUUAGCAGGGAAGAAGCGCAAGUGACGGUACCUGCAGAAAAAGCACCGGCUAACUACGUGCCAGCAGCCGCCGUAAGAC